GGAUUUUUCCUUUAAGAUUUACUUACAAGAGUUGGACGAAGAGGGUGUAAAGUGUUUGUCUUAUCACAACAUUGAAAUGUACAUCUCAGAACAAAUAGUUCCAUUUUUGUAAAGUUAUUAUAUUGAAUAUGGACUGUUAUUAGAAAUGAAAAUUAUAUAUAAUUAUGUAAAUUGCUUGGGAUAAAGUAUACUUCCUUUUUUUAUGAAAUUAUAUUACGGAAUGGUGUUAUAACUUAGCAAAGAGGAAGGAUCUUGUGAAAGUGAUUAUGUUACGCGGGAAGAAAACCCGCUUGGUCAGUAGAGAUCGAUUGUUUUGAGGUCAUUGGUCAAGCUACUCAGUGAGGAGAGCAAUCAGUCAGAGAGUCCCGUAGGAUCCAGAUAAUUUAGAUCUCAAUCCUGUCGAGGUAUGUUGAUUGAUAUGUGCUAUUUUAUAAGAGAAGAAUAUCUAUGUUUUGGAAUAUAUUAUCUCUAAAUCAUGAACUAGAAUUAGAGCAUUGAAUCGUAAUUUUUCUGUUAGGUCAAGGAUACCUACUACGUGGCAUGUUACGUAACAAUGAAUGUGUGUAUAUAUGUAUCGGGUACCUAUCGAUUCAAGAUGGUAUCACUCUUUCCUUUUUGUCUUGGAAUUGCCGAAUUGGAGGACUAUAUUUAUGUAGUUGUAUUUCUUUAACGCUCGAUAAAUUAUUUACAUGGUGUAUUUAAAUAGACGAUGAGUAGAAUUUAUAAAUGUGAAUAAUUCGUAAACCGGGAGAUUUGGUAAAUGGUAGCCUCAAGGUUAGGCAAGGUCAAAUCGUUUCGUACUGAUGGUUUCGAUUAAUUAUCGAUUUAACUUAAUAUUUUCGCCAGUUCAGUUAUAUAUUUUAGAUUUUAAAAUGAUACGUGAUCAAUUGAUAUUAUACAAUCAUAUAUAUUAAGGAUUGGUGUAUCGUUUAUUUAUUUAGGAGUUCGAAUGUUCAUUUGUUGAUGGAACUAGCUGGAUUGUGAUGAUUUCUGGGUUUUCUACGAAGAUUGCAGUGUUGGGUACCGGAAUCUGACCCUAGAAAAUGAUUGUUUUGGUCCUUGGUAUGGUUUUUAACCUGUAUCUGCCCUAGUCGGGUGAGUCAAGAUGGCCGUACUUAUAAGAUUGAGACGUGCAGCAUUUUUUACCAAAAUUAACGGUGUUUUGUGAUCGAUUACGAAAGUUUGAAUUGUUGACAUAUAUAAAAGAUUGAUAUAUUUGGAAGAAUGUUUCCAAAGCUUGCUAUAUAAAUUGUGAAUUCAUAUAUUUUACAUUAGAAGAAAAUGAUUGCAAAAGAGAUCAAUUUAAGAUUUAGAAACAUAUAAUAAUCUAUGAUACUUGUGACUAUUUAAUUGUCGAUAGCUGAGUUAAUAACUUGUUAUAAACAUUGUUACUUUUCGCUUAUUAACGAGCGCAGACUGAAAUGUGAUUGCAGAUCUGUAAAAACAUACACACAUUACAGUGACCUGCUCAAUGAUCGAAAAGUGUACUCGUAUUAUUAAGAGUAUAUAUUCUGUCUUGACAUGUAAAUGCUUUAUUUCAUGCUGAAAUGAUAUUUUGAACAUUAUACUCAUGUUCUUUAUUGUUUCUCUCUUUUCUGCUUGCAGAGGUUUUUUUUUCCAAUUUGUUAUAUACUGAACAACUGUUGUGCUCAAGUGGGAAAUUAAAUUCCGCUCACAACCUACAACUCUCGUCGUAUCGUGUCUUGUGUUCUGGAGUGUCCUGACAACUUCCCCCAAAAAUCCAGAAUACUACAAGUGGUGUCAGAAGUGGGAUAGAACUUGAGCAUCGAUAGACGGCAACUAAGAAGCAAGAAAAGAAGAACAUCAUUAGACGGAAACCAAGAAGCAAGAAAGAAAACCUCCGACUUUGGUUGUAUGGAGUUCGAAUGUUCAUUUGUUGAUGGAACUAGCUGGAUUGUGAUGAUUUCUGGGUUUUCUACGAAGGUACGAAAAGUUAUGAAUUUUCCUUGUAAUUUAAUGACUGUGUUGUUCGAAGUGAUAUCUUAUAAUAUUAGGAUAAGAAUGAUUGGUGAAUUUGAUUUUUUUCCUUCGAGCAUUGAAGGCUUAAAUGAUAACUUUUUCAUUAGAUC